rnacentral:rRNA from 1 species
UACGUAGGGGGCGAGCGUUGUCCGGAGUUACUGGGCGUAAAGCGCACGCAGGCGGUCUGCUAAGUUUGGAGUGACAGUUGGUGGCUUAACUGCCAAAGUGCUUCGAAAACUGACAGACUUGAGGGCUUCAGAGGGACACGGAAUUCCGGGUGGAGUGGUGAAAUGCGUAGAGAUCCGGAGGAACACCAAAGGCGAAGGCAGUGUCCUGGGGAGUACCUGACGCUCAGGUGCGAAAGCCAGGGGAGCGAGCGGG